CCAGAAGCCUAGUUCCAGCCUUCAACGCUAAUGGCACAUAUGAGGCUGUUGCCUCCUCUUAGAGCUCUAGCACAGGGCAGCCCUCCAGACUACAGCCAGGCAGUGGGUAGGUUCUAGGGAACCUGGACACCCAACCCAUCCCAUCUCCUCUGGUCUCUCUACUCACUCCAAUUCUGUCAGCGCCUCCAGAUUCUCAAUCUUCUUGAUCUGAUUAUCAUAGAGAUCCAGUUCUCGAAGACUCUGCAGUUCCUCCAGGUUCUCAAUGCAUUUAAUUAAGUUUUGACGGAGGCACAGUGACUGGAGGGUAGGAAGAGGAUCAGCAUUGGCAAAGGAGAACAUAGGGCCACCCUCCAGGGGCUGUUUUAUGCUGAUCAUCAAGGGGCAGCACCUCAAAGCCUUCAAUCUUUCCAAUGCGAUAGUGAUUCAGAUCAACAUCCUGAAAUAUAGAGGAAUCUUGCUCAGAUCCAUCGGAGUUUUGGAGACCUGGCCAGAAGCUGCUUAGGAGAAUGCCAGAUGGGGAGGGCUGUAGAAGUUUUUUGCGGGGGACACUAAAGAUGAGAAGGUGAUAGCAAGGCCUCCAAAAGUCUAUCUGUGCCUCGAACUUCCCAAGAAGCCAAAGUCGGCUUGAAGCUCUUGAUGGGAAGGAAGAAAACAGCUCCCUGAGUCUUGGUGAACUCAGUGAAGCCUAGUCAUUGCUGGGAAGCAUGUCCCCACCAUGGCUGUCCCCUUGGAAUCCCUGGAGUUUGUGUUGCCAGAAACCUAUCCACCCAUGUAUUCUUCCCCCUCUAUUUGUGGCAAUAAAUUGGGCCAUUUGAAUACAGCUCAUGCUGGGCCUAGUACAUGUUCUGGGA